rnacentral:rRNA from 1 species
GACGAACGCUGGCGGCGUGCUUAACACAUGCAAGUCGAACGGUGAAGCGCCUUCCUUUUUGGUGGGUGUGGAUGGGUGGCGAACGGGUGAGUAACACGUGAGAAACCUGCCCCCUUCUUCUGGAUAACCGCAUGAAAGUGUGGCUAAUACGGGAUAUUCUGGGUCUGUCGCAUGAUGGGUCUGGGAAAGAUAUUGUUUCGGUGGGGGAUGGGCUCGCGGCCUAUCAGCUUGUUGGUGGGGUGAUGGCCUACCAAGGCGGUGACGGGUAGCCGGCCUGAGAGGGUGGACGGUCACACUGGGACUGGGACACGGCCCAGACUCCUACGGGAGGCAGCAGUGGGGAAUAUUGCACAAUGGGCGCAAGCCUGAUGCAGCGACGCCGCGUGAGGGAUGGAGGCCUUCGGGUUGUGAACCUCUUUCGCCAGUGAAGCAGGCCUGCCUCGUUUGUGGGUGGGUUGACGGUAGCUGGAUAAGAAGCGCCGGCUAACUACGUG